rnacentral:tRNA from 1 species
CCCUCGCUAGCCUGGCUGGCUGCGGCACCGACCUCAAGGAGGUCGGCAGGGAACCCGCUUUGUCGCCGGUCGGUUCCGGCAUCGGUGCAGGCGGC